UGGGUCUUACCCAGCCUGGGUGACCGCGAGUCUCGUGACUCCUCGCGAGUCGCGAGUCCUUCGUUGUCGCCGCCGCAGGGAAGCUCCGCUCCGCUCCGCCACCUCCACCCUCCUCCUCCAGUCCUCGAGGGAUUCAGAUCCAGAUCUAGAUCUACGGGGAGACUGCGAGGAGCAGCGGCGAGGUGCCUAGCGGAGAGGUGAGCCGGUGGAUCGUCCAUCCCCUCCUCCUCCCUCGGGCCAGGGCCGGGUCUUCAAGAACGGGCGGCGGCGUUUCUCUUGAGGCGAAUUUGGCCUGCUGCGCGUUGGAGGGGUGCAUCCAGUGGUUCCUUGACCUGGUGGACACGCUGUUCGUCGACGGUGGGCAGGAUCUCUACGUCAGGCUUGCAAAG